GUUUUGAAGAAUGUUGAUGCUGCUUUUUUCCAUACAAUGAAUGUGAAUGGUGACUGAUGCAGUCCUUAAAAUUCAGCCUAACAUCUACAAGAGAGAAAGAAAGCAGGGCGGCUGGAAUGAGUCAUGGUCAUACAUGACUUGACAUUCAGGACUCUGCUGAUACCAGCUCUGAGCUUUGACCUGGAUGCUUAUUCAACUAUUAGGACGAAACAAGAUGAGCUGCUGGACCUGAGAGAGUUUCAGGACAGUUUAUUGAACUGUCACUUUCCCUGUCUGGCAAGUGCUACGUUUCGCAACAUUUUACAUUGUGUGAUUUUGUGCAUGUGUUUUUAUGCAUUGCAAACAUAAACGUGUUCUGUGUAAUGUAUUGAAUAUCGUUGCUGCGCAUUUUGCUGAUUUAAACUUGUCAGUAAGGGAACUUAGUAGCCAUAUAGAUCAAGUUUUAUGAAAACAUUGUUUUCCUGCAA